UCCCACCUUUCUGAGUUAGUACAAAACUACCCAAGACUGUGUAUCCAAGUUAUAAUUUUGUUACCUGGAAGUAUGAAGCUCACAUGUAAUUUCUGUCUGUCUCCUCCUCCUCCUCUUAAUAGUUUCUUUUCUCCGAAGUAGCACAGAAGUAUUUCAGUGUCCACUCACUUGUACUGUUUCAUUAAAGAAAGCCUGAAGCAACAAAGCUGAGAUGCUUGCCUAGAUUCUUUAAUUAAGGCAUGCUUCAAAUAUGUUGCCUGGUCUGCUGUACAGACAGCAAGCAUGUUAUUUAAAAUUUAAUUUGAUAGACCUGCCAAACUAUACAAUAACAAUUCAGGCACCAGAUUGCUUGCUGGAAUCUACACAGGAAAUUCCAUUGCCAGAAGAAAAUGAACACUUGAAGACCAGGAUUUGGGAUACAUGGACUCCCAUCAUCCUCAGCCAUUUAUUUAUUUAUUCAAUUCAAUUGAUGGAUAUACCUUAUAGGAGUUGGGAAGCAUCCAGAAGAUGACAAAUCUUGCAUAUUUUGUCUGGACAACUGCACACUGUGUUUAUGAACAAACUUCCUGGAGCUUUGAGUGUCAGUCUGGAUUCUGGAAAGACCAUGCAGAGUCUACAGAUUAGGCAAGAACUAAAAAGUAGGGGAAGAAGGAACACAACUUCUACUGCCAACUGUAAACAACCAUGUCUAAAAUUAUGAGUACAUGAAAGUUCGUAUUUUGAUCUCAGUGUCUAUUCCAUGUAAUCGCCUGUUUGUCAUUCUGUUGCAAACUAGUAAAAUACAAUUAAAAAAAGAGAGACUCCCAUUGCAUUCUGAAAUAUGAGGUAUACACAUACCUAAUUUCCCUGAAUCCCAGGGCAGCGCUUCACUGUUUAGAUUUCUUUUGGAGCUUGAAUAAAGGAUCUGCACCUUGCA
rnacentral:lncRNA from 1 species